ensembl:piRNA 21ur-3100 ncRNA
UAAUGCAUUUUUAAUGUCGGA